rnacentral:rRNA from 1 species
UACGUAGGGGCCGAGCGUUGUCCGGAGUUAUUGGGCGUAAAGCGCGCGCAGGCGGCCUCGCGCGCCCGACGUGAAAGCCCCCGGCUUAACCGGGGAGGGUCGUUGGGGACGGCGGGGCUUGAGGGCGGGAGAGGUCGGUGGAAUCCCCGGUGUAGUGGUGAAAUGCGUAGAGAUCGGGAGGAACACCUGUGGCGAAGGCGGCCGACUGGGCCGACCCUGACGCUGAGGCGCGAAGGCGUGGGGAGCGAACGGG